GGGGGUGUGGUCAAGGGGUAUGACAAGCGAUCCGCAUUCGCUUAGCCUGGGUUCGAGUCCCAGCUCCUCCA
rnacentral:tRNA from 23 species